rnacentral:rRNA from 1 species
AACGAACGCUGGCGGCAUGCCUAACACAUGCAAAUCGAACGAGACCUUCGGGUCUAGUGGCGCACGGGUGCGUAACGCGUGGGAACCUGCCCUUAGGUUCGGAAUAACUCCCCGAAAGGGGUGCUAAUACCGGAUAAUGUCUUCGGACCAAAGAUUUAUCGCCUUUGGAUGGGCCCGCGUUGGAUUAGCUAGUUGGUAGGGUAAAAGCCUACCAAGGCGACGAUCCAUAGCUGGUCUGAGAGGAUGAUCAGCCACACUGGGACUGAGACACGGCCCAGACUCCUACGGGAGGCAGCAGUGGGGAAUAUUGGACAAUGGGCGAAAGCAUGAUCCAGCAAUGCCGCGUGAGUGAUGAAGGCCUUAGGGUUGUAAAGCUCUUUUACCCGGGAUGAUAAUGACAGUACCGGGAGAAUAAGCUCCGGCUAACUCCGUG